CUUUCCCAUAGUCCCCCAGCUAUGCUGGCCAGGGGCCUUUGGGGGCACAGCCCUGUGUAGAUUUGUUUGUUUUCUUCUUGACCCUGGUGACAGGGCUCUGGGAAGCCUUGGGUCUGGCUUUUCCAGUUGGCCCUUGAGAGGAUGAGGGUGCGGAUGGACUUUGACCUGCUAGCUUGAGAGGCCUUCCUGCUGAGCAGGGAGCAGAGAGCUGGGUGCUGGGCGCUCUCCCACUGACCUCUGCCUGCCCUCUGCAGGUGGAGAAACGGCGGGUCAGCCUGCCCAGAAUCCUGUCCACACCGCCUGUGGCUGGCACUGUGUGUCAUGCAUAUGACCGAGAGGUCCAUCUACACUGUGAGCUCCCCCCUGGCUACUACCUGGCUGUCCCCAGCACCUUCCUGAAGGACAUGCCAGGGCAGUUCCUGCUCCGAGUUUUCUCCACAGGCAAAGUCUCCCUCAGGUGAGGAGCCAGUGGCAGCUGUGAGCAAGGGUUCAUCCGGGGAUGGGACUCUGGUGGCUGCCCUGGUUGGGCACAGUCCUCAGACAGGCUGCUAGCACCCUCCUCCGCUCGUCCCUCCACAGUGCUGUCAGGCCAGCAGCCAAGGGCGCCUCCCCUGGGGCAGCCCUGCCCUCCGGCGAGUGGGAGACCCUGCAGCUGCGGGGCUGCUGGAGAGCAGGCCGGACAGCAGGGGGCAGCAGGAACUUCGCCUCCUACCUCUGCAACCCCUGCCUCCCUUUCUCGGUCCCCGAGGGCUCCAGUCCCCGAUGCAUCCGAAUCACCCUGCACCAGCACUGCCCGCUCAGUGACAGCCAGCUGCAUCCCAUUGGCUUUCAUGUCUUCCAGGUGGGCUCCUCAGCAAGGGACAGGUACGGGGAGGCCCAGGCAACCCAUGUCUGUCCCAUGUUGUCCCAGUAAUCAGCUGCCUGGGAGGCAGAGCCUGGGCUCAGUUGGGCACAUCAGCCCAGCUGGCUGGUCUCAUGGGAGGCUGGUCUCUAGGUUUCUAAGGCUGUAUUUGCUGGGGUCAGCUCAGAUGGCCCUUGGCCACUCACCCUGGCUCGGAACAUCUGUGUCCUGAGGUCAAUUCUCCCCAGAGCAUGCCCCCUACCCCAGGAUCCUGGACCCUGGAGGCUGCUCAGGGGAUUCUGGGCAGACACCCAGCCUCACCAUGGAUCUGGCCCCAGCCAGCAAUUUCAGAGAAGCCCUACCCACUGGUGCAACAGGGAGUGAACACACCCAGGAGCCACCCAGGUCAUACCACCUGCCCCUCCCAUGUCACUGAGCGCCCUGGGUGGGACUGGCAAGAGCUGCACCCCAGUGGGGGGCAGUGGAAGUCAGAGCAGCGAUGGCCUGGUCUGGAAGAAGGGGUGUGUGGGGCCAGAGGAGCAGACAGUGGGGUGAGCUGCUCCCGCAACCAGCAGGCAGAGGAGAGGUGGGGGUGCCCUCAGGGAGGCCAGCAGCCCGAGGGUGCCCCUGGAGCUACCGGAGCCUGCAGCUGGGGUCAGCCCUGCACAGGUGAGUCGGGAAGGAGGCAGCCGGGCAAAGUGAUAGUCGCCCCAGUGUCAUUCCAGAGGGCGGCGCAUCAGUCCAGGUCAGCCCUGGGAGGGGUAGGGUCAGGAAGCAGAGGUCAUGCCAAGGGACCUCGCCAUGGGCCAUUCUGGUGACACUGCUGCUCAUGCUUAGCCAUUCCUGCAGGUGGAGGUGGCUCAGGCUCCUGCCAGGGAAGGGCUGAUCAGACCUCACCCGGUGCCUUCCUCAGCCCGGCUCUGUCCUGCCCCUGCUAUAGCCAGCCAGGGGAGGCACACUUAGCAGAUCUGGAGGGGGAGGGAGAGUUCAUGUCUCAGGGUCACAGGCCCUGAGUUCUGUGGGGACAGUUCUGGGGCUCCCAGCCCACACGGAGCUGUGCUUGUCCUGGGAGGACAAUGGCUGAGGAUGUCCUGGGCUAUAGCUGGUGGGAACACAUGGCCUGGCAAGCAGUGACCAAGAGAAGAGAGCGGGAUUUCUGGUAAGAGGGUCGGUGCCUCCCCCGGAGGAGCCACUGAGCCCAGAGAGCUGAGGAAGACACUGGGACCUUGCCCGGUGCUGCGUGCUGUGUGGGCCACCAGGAAGGAGCUCAGACCAAAAUGCCAGUGCCCAGGGGCUGCUGGCCAGAGCACUCUGGGUUGGGGUCUGGGCAGUGGUACGUGCCGACCACAGAGCUGAUCUGAGGUUCUUGGGCUUGGUGCCACUGCCAGGGCCUUCUGGCAAGGGUGGUCCAACUUCAGUGGGAGGGAGGUUCAGUGUGUGGGCCUGGCACUUGCUCCCCAGAAAAGGGGUGCAUGUGAUUCAGGAGGGCCAGGCAUCAGCAUCUUGGGAUCCAGCAGACUCCAGCUGCUGCUGCCUGGGCAGUGCCCCCAUCCAUACAGCCGCCUCAGGCUGAGCCCUGCACCCUCCAGGUCCCUGCAGGUGGCGAGAGGCAGGGUGCAGGCCCCCUGCUGCUCCAGGAGCCACUGCUGAGCUGUGUGCCACAUCGCUAUGCCCAGGAGGUGAGCCGGCUCUGCCUGCUGUCUGCGGGCACCUACAGGGUCGUGCCCUCCACCUACUGGCCUGACACCGAGGGCUCCUUCAUGGUGACCAUAGCAACCAGAGUGGACAGGUGCGGCUCUGGGCCUUGGGAUGACCAGCAGGUGUUCUUGGCCCUGAGCACUCAGCAGCCUUCCCCGUCUGGUUCUCUGCUGACCCAAGGCAUGAAUGGGCCUGCUUGCCUGGCUGAGCUGGGAGGAGGGUCUGGUGAGAGGCCAGCCGGGAGCAGGUGGCCCCCGGUGAGCUGCCCUCUCUCCACAGGCGGUCCAUUCACAGCCAGGAGAUGCUGGGCCAGGUCCUCCAGGAGGUGCGUGCAGCCCCUGCCUGCAGCCCCCAGCAGCCUUGCAUCCCAGUGCCUGAGGCCCCUCCCAGCUGCCUCACUCAGUGGCCUCUGCUACCCUGAGUCACAGGGCAGAGCUUGCAGGGACUUGGGGGCUGGGCUGUCACAGUCCCUAGGGGCAUUUGGGGGGGGGGUGGGAGCAGCCCUGAGCCCACCUUUCCGUCCCUCUUGCAGGUUUCCCUCACUGCAGUGAUGAAGGCCUAGCCGGGCUCCCACGGGGCAGCUCUGGGGGCUGGAGCUGGCCAAGCCUUGACCUGCCUCAGCUCUGCAGGGUGGCCACAGCUUGGGUCCCGAGUGAGGUGCUCUGUCCUGGAGAGAGGGAGUCUUGGGGUGGCACAGGUGCUGCAGGAGGGUCAGGAAGUCCUGUGGUGUCUGUCCCAUGCCCAAGACCCCAGGGUCCCUUCCACAUGGUCCUGCCAACUCCAGGCGGGCACGUGUUGUAACAGGUGUUGCUGGGAGCUGUUUAUCACUUGAAAUAUCUUUUAGGACAUGACUAUAAAUAAACACGAGCAGUUUGUG
rnacentral:lncRNA from 1 species